UAGAUUUUAAAGUGAUUAUUUACUGUACGUGGUCAUUUUGCCUCUUAUGUGCUGUAGGGGAUGCCGCCAUCAGGGUGAAGGCACUGGCAGCAGGUCAUAUUGGGUCAAUCAAGUACUGUAUCAGGCAUGUAAUGAGAUACUGUUGUGAAGAUAUGUGGGUUAAAAAACAACUUAAGAAUGAAACAUUUUAUACUACCGAUCUCUGUUUAUUUCCCUUCCUAGGUCCAGUGUGAGAACAGCCCUACGGGUCUGAAUGAAGUUGUGAUUUAUAAUGAUCAAACUUGCCCCAUAACUUCUGUCCAGUGUGAGAUCAACCCUUCUGGUCUGCAUGGAAUUGUGGUGUACGAUGAUCAAACUUAUCCCUUGAUGAUCAUUUACUGUAUGUGAUAAUUUUGCCAUCAGAGUGAAUGCACUAGCAACAGGUCAUAUGGGAUCGCUCAAAUGUCAGGCAUAUCAUGAUAUAUUGUCUUUUAGAUAUGUGGGUGAAAAAAAAAUUACAUUUGCCCAGCACAAUGAUUCCCAGCAUUUUUGGUUUGAGACCCCCAGUGACAAAGAAAGAAAAAGCUGAAUCCUUUUUUUUUCUGAUCUGAAAAAAAAUUCUGAUCCAUGAGUUUUAUGAUCCACUGCACCCCUAUUAUUUGUGCUGGACUCCAGCAUACUUUAAGAAGAUGGAAGAUUGUUUAAGAACAAAAUUAUGAUUCUAAUAUAAAAUAUAAUUAUUCAGCUUUUCGGGUUCAAAUCUCACUCAUACACACACACUAAAUAUCUUUGACACUGAGUCCUGAAGUGAAAUUAUGAGUGAUUUACCAAGAUAAAGUAGUAGAUUGGAGCCUGUUAUGUAUACAGUGAUACAUCAGAUCAGACUGGUUUUAUUACAGGGCGGCAGCUUUUUGGCAACAUACGAAGGCGGCAUUAGAACUUAUUUCCAGCUUUGGAGAGAUUUCAGGCUACAGAAUCAACUUUACUAGUUUGCUCUUCCCUAUUAAUGACCAGGCUCGACAGAUGUCUUUUAAGGCAUAUCCACUAAAAGAAACUCGUGACACCAAUCUCGGUGUAUCAGUAACCAGUAAGUACAGUGAUUUAUUCAUGCAUAACUUUAAACUAGCCCUGGAGAGGGCCAAACAGGACCUAUAUCGCUUGCUGGUAGGGUUAACCCUGUCAAGAUGAUAAUUAUGCCCAGGUUCUUAUUCUUAUUUCAUACAAUACGUGUUUAUAUCCCAAAGCUUUUUUUUAGAGAGCUUGAUAAAUUUAUAUCCACCUUUAUCUGGAAUAAGACCAUCCCACGAAUAAGGAGGGCACAUCUUGAGAAACAGAAAGAGGUUGGAGGCUUAGCAAUAUUUGCAAUAUUACUGGGCAGCUAAUAUUUAUAAACUAAUAUACUGGGUCUCUGCAUCCUAUGAAGGGGGUGGGCCCUUGUGGGUUGAAAUGGAACAACACUCCGCUCAUCCGGUGUCCCUACCUUCUUUAGUAUGUGCGCCAUUGCCACUCAGUAAAAGCAGCGCCUCACAUCAUUACUCAAGUCAAAUGACUGGGUAGAUGAGUGGUUGGAGGGGGGUCUAAAUCAAAGAGCAGGAGUGAGCAGAUUAUAUGAGGGUAUCCAGAUGAUCGCCUCGCCGUCACUUAGUCAUAUUAGGGCAGGGUGGGAGGAGGAACUAGGAUCUGAAGUGUCGGACGUCUCCUGGCAAAGCGCAAUUAAGAAAAUAAAUUCAACUUCGAUUUGUAUUAGACAUGGUUUGCUUCAACUUAAGGAUCCAACCUGCACCCGAUGCUGUCCCUAUUGGCCAGACAUAUUUUGUGUAAUUGGAAGUCAGAUAGGCCGCCGACACACAGGCUCUGUAAUAUGUCAGUUUUCUUUCUUUUUUUUUUCUUGUUAUUGUUGUCACUUUAUUAUUAUAUAUGUUGGGGUUGCUGUUUGGGGACUUGUUGAUUGUUUUCUUGUUAAGCGCUUACAAUUCAAAACUCAAUAAAAAUAUUUGAAUACCAAGAUAAGGUAAAGAUUA